AUGACACCCAUGUGUUCAUGGACGAGAAUGUGGACUUCUUCAGGAGCUAUUAUUCAGCCUACCAACAUGGUUUUUGUCCUAUCAUACAAAAAGGCUGAACUUCAUAUCUACCAUCUAGAUCUUUCCACAUGGUUGAUACUUCAGAACCGAAUCUGUCGAGCGUGGAAACCCACAGAGACCUGCAAAAGUGGAGUAGGGAAAGGAGAGGCUACAGAGACCCUCGUGAUCCCAGGGGAAGAGGAUAUUUCUACCUGCACAGUCCACACCUCCUCUCACACACACCGUAUAACAAGGGAACAGCUGCAAGAGGGGUGCACAGGGCAUGCAACUAGUAUGGAAGCAGAAAAAUGAGAAGAAAGCAAAUCCAUAUGCUGCAAUAUUCUCAAACACUCCACUGAUUGGCUCAGUCUGUCCUUAAGACCUUUUUGAGCUGUAUAUUCAAGAAAUGAAAACAUCUGCCCAUGCAAAACAAUGGCAUGCAGAUGUUCACAGAUGCAUUAUUUACAAUAGUCCAAAGAAUGAAAUAAUCCUAUUUGUACAUCAAUGGACAAGUAGAUAAACAAAAUACAGUAGGUCCACACCAUGGAAAAUUGUUUGGCUACAGAAAGAAGUUCUGAUAUAUCAUGGAUGACCCUCAAAAACUUUAUGCUUUGUGAAAGAAGUUAGUCACAAAAGGUAACAUGCAAAAAAAAAAAAGCAAUAUGUUAUAUAUUAUCCCAUUUAUGUAAAAUGCCCAGAACAGGAAACUGAUGAUGAUAGAAAUAGUGUUUGCCAAACCUGAGAGCUGAGUGAGACGGGAAUGUAAAGCAACUGCCAAUGGGUAUGAGCUUUCUUUGGGGGAUGAUUAAAAUACCUAAAAUCAGGUUGUGGUGAUAGUUGCA
rnacentral:lncRNA from 1 species